rnacentral:rRNA from 1 species
GAUGAACGCUAGCGGCAGGCCUAACACAUGCAAGUCGAGGGGGAGGUUACUUUCGGGUAACUGAGACCGGCGUACGGGUGCGUAACGCGUAUACAAUCUGCCUUUCACUGGGGGAUAGCCCGAAGAAAGUUGGAUUAAUACCCCAUAGUAUAGUAAUACGGCAUCGUGAUGCUAUUAAAGCAUAUGCGGUGGAAGGUGAGGAUGCGUCCUAUUAGCUCGUUGUAGAGGUAACGGCUCCCCAAGGCGAUGAUAGAUAGGGGUUCUGAGGGGGAGGUCCCCCACACUGGUACUGGGAUACGGACCAGACUCCUACGGGAGGCAGCAGUGAGGAAGAUUGGAGAAUGGUCGGAAGACUGAUCCAGCCAUGCCGCGUGCAGGAUGAAGGUCUUAUGGAUUGUAACCUGCUUUUGGAAGGGAAGAAUAAGGGCUACGCGUAGUUUGAUGACGGUACCUUACGAAUAAGCAUCGGCUAACUCCGUG